UUAAGCGACUAAGCGUACACGGUGGAUGCCCUGGCAGUCAGAGGCGAUGAAGGACGUGCUAAUCUGCGAUAAGCGUCGGUAAGGUGAUAUGAACCGUUAUAACCGGCGAUUUCCGAAUGGGGAAACCCAGUGUGAUUCGUCACACUAUCAUUAACUGAAUCCAUAGGUUAAUGAGGCGAACCGGGGGAACUGAAACAUCUAAGUACCCCGAGGAAAAGAAAUCAACCGAGAUUCCCCCAGUAGCGGCGAGCGAACGGGGAGGAGCCCAGAGCCUGAAUCAGUGUGUGUGUUAGUGGAAGCGUCUGGAAAGGCGCGCGAUACAGGGUGACAGCCCCGUACACAAAAAUGCACAUACUGUGAGCUCGAUGAGUAGGGCGGGACACGUGGUAUCCUGUCUGAAUAUGGGGGGACCAUCCUCCAAGGCUAAAUACUCCUGACUGACCGAUAGUGAACCAGUACCGUGAGGGAAAGGCGAAAAGAACCCCGGCGAGGGGAGUGAAAAAGAACCUGAAACCGUGUACGUACAAGCAGUGGGAGCACGCUUCGGCGUGUGACUGCGUACCUUUUGUAUAAUGGGUCAGCGACUUAUAUUCUGUAGCAAGGUUAACCGAAUAGGGGAGCCGAAGGGAAACCGAGUCUUAACUGGGCGUUAAGUUGCAGGGUAUAGACCCGAAACCCGGUGAUCUAGCCAUGGGCAGGUUGAAGGUUGGGUAACACUAACUGGAGGACCGAACCGACUAAUGUUGAAAAAUUAGCGGAUGACUUGUGGCUGGGGGUGAAAGGCCAAUCAAACCGGGAGAUAGCUGGUUCUCCCCGAAAGCUAUUUAGGUAGCGCCUCGUGAAUUCAUCUCCGGGGGUAGA
rnacentral:rRNA from 1 species